GAGUUUCGCUCUUUUUGCCCAGGCUGGAGUGCAAUGGUGCAAUCUCAGCUCACUGCAAACUCCGCCUCCUGCGUUCAAGCGAUUCUUCUGCCUCAGCCUCCUGAGUAGGUGGGAUUACAGGAAUGCACCAGCACACCCAGCUAAUUUUGUAUUUUUAGUAGAGAUAGGGUUUCUCCAUGUUGGUCAGGCUGGUCUCGAACUCCCGACCUCAGGUGAUCCGCCCGCUUCGGCCUCCCAAAGUGCUGGGAUUACAGGCAUGAACCACUGCGCCCGGCCUCAGAAAUAUAAUUUAAAUCUUCAGAUAUGGAGCCCUAACCUGCUCUCUCCCACUCCUACUCCAGGCUCAGGGCACACUUGCCUCACCACAGGCUCUCCCAGGGCAUAGGAGGGCGAGUGGGGUGCAUGACCAUCCUCUCCACCACUGGGGUGAGUGGCAAAUGUGAUCUCACUGUUGUUUCUGUUUGCACUGCUGACGGGGUGAGAAGGCUUCUCCAGUGUUGAGUUAACAUUUAUUAAAAGCUCACUGUCAGGCCUGGAGCUGUGUGGUUUAAUAGUAACAAUGGCGUGUAUUUUCUGAGCACUGACCAUGUGCAGCCGUUGGUCAAAGUGGUUUCCUGCUUUGACUUGUUCAAUCCCUCACCAUCCUGUGUGGCAGGUCCUCUUAUGAUUAACUACAGUGUAAGUGUAGAGGAAACCAAGGCCUGCUGGGCAGCGGCAGAGCGGGGUUCAAACACCCUUUGCUGGGGGAAAGGGGUCUGUCUACCUGUGGCCCAGCCUCAUUUGCCUGGGGCUGCACCAGGGCUAGGGGCUCAAUCUCACUGUGGCCAAGAGGAGGUGCUUGACUCUGAGACUCAGUCUCCUUGUCUGUAAAAUGGGAAUAACAGAGCAUGGUGGCUGAGAGGGUCUGGUAAGGUCAGGUAACAGUGUCUGGCUUAAUGGGUAGAGGCCUACCCCCACCUGAAGGGGAAGGAGCAAAUGAUGGUCACAGAUGAUCAGGGCUCUCUGGGUCCCGUAACUAUAUCUGGGACAAUGACUUUCAAACAGGUGAAGACAGACACUCUUCCUGUUUCGCUCUCAUGUGCUGGUCCACCUGGCUCCCUGUCUGCCAGCUGACUGCACAGCGUGACCGCAGAAGGCUGUGGUGCUCCUGCUGGAGUAGGCUUGUGGUGGGUGACAGUGCGGGCACAGGGGAAGGUGUGUGGGCACAGGGGAGGGUAUGUGGACACUGGUCUGGAAGGGAAGGGGGCUCCCCUAGUCCUGUGGCCAACUGCACAGCUGCAGGAUCCCCCUGGAGCCCCCGUCCCCCGCAACAUCGGCGCGGCCCCUCGUACCUCUAGCUCCAGCGGCGGCGGGCGGCGGACAGCGGGGCCCCGGCGGGCGG
rnacentral:lncRNA from 10 species